UGGGGAAUAUUGCACAAUGGGCGCAAGCCUGAUGCAGCCAUGCCGCGUGUAUGAAGAAGGCCUUCGGGUUGUAAAGUACUUUCAGCGAGGAGGAAGGCGGUAAGGUUAAUAACCUUAUCGAUUGACGUUACUCGCAGAAGAAGCACCGGCUAACUCCGUGCCAGCAGCCGCGGUAAUACGGAGGGUGCAAGCGUUAAUCGGAAUUACUGGGCGUAAAGCGCACGCAGGCGGUCUGUCAAGUCGGAUGUGAAAUCCCCGGGCUCAACCUGGAAACUGCAUUCGAAACUGGCAGGCUAGAGUCUUGUAGAGGGGGGUAGAAUUCCAGGUGUAGCGGUGAAAUGCGUAGAGAUCUGGAGGAAUACCGGUGGCGAAGGCGGCCCCCUGGACAAAGACUGACGCUCAGGUGCGAAAGCGUGGGGAGCAAACA
rnacentral:rRNA from 1 species